rnacentral:rRNA from 1 species
CACGUAGGCACCAAGCGUUGUCCGGAUUUAUUGGGCGUAAAGAGCUCGUAGGCGGUUCAGUAAGUCGGGUGUGAAAACUUUGGGCUUAACCCAAAGCGUGCAUCUGAUACUGCUGUGACUUGAGUUCGGUAGGGGAGUGGGGAAUUCCUAGUGUAGCGGUGAAAUGCGCAGAUAUUAGGAGGAACACCGGUGGCGGAAGGCGCCCACUCUGGGCCGAAACUGACGCUGAGGAGCGAAAGCAUGGGUAGCAAACAGG